rnacentral:rRNA from 1 species
UACGUAGGGUGCGAGCGUUAAUCGGAAUUACUGGGCGUAAAGCGUGCGCAGGCGGUUUUGUAAGCCAGAUGUGAAAUCCCCGGGCUUAACCUGGGAAUGGCAUUUGGGACUGCAAGGCUCGAGUGCGGCAGAGGAGACUGGAAUUCCUGGUGUAGCAGUGAAAUGCGUAGAUAUCAGGAGGAACACCGGUGGCGAAGGCGCUCAUCUGGCCCAAUACUGACGCUGAGGCGCGAAAGCUAGGGGAGCAAACGGG